rnacentral:rRNA from 1 species
AGAGUUGAUCAUGGCUCAGGAUGAACGCUAGCUACAGGCUUAACACAUGCAAGUCGAGGGGUAGCAGGGUAGCAAUACCGCUGACGACCGGCGCACGGGUGAGUAACACGUAUCCAACCUUCCCAUAACUCAGGGAUAGCCUUUCGAAAGAAAGAUUAAUACCUGAUAGUACUUUUUCAAGGCAUCUUGAAAAAGUUAAAGAUUUAUUGGUUAUGGAUGGGGAUGCGUUCCAUUAGAUAGUUGGUGAGGUAACGGCUCACCAAGUCUUCGAUGGAUAGGGGUUCUGAGAGGAAGGUCCCCCACAUUGGUACUGAGACACGGACCAAACUCCUACGGGAGGCAGCAGUGAGGAAUAUUGGUCAAUGGGCGAGAGCCUGAACCAGCCAAGUAGCGUGAAGGAAUGAAGGUCCUAUGGAUUGUAAACUUCUUUUAUAGUAGAAUAAAGUGAUCCACGUGUGGAUUUUUGUAUGUAUACUAUGAAUAAGGAUCGGCUAACUCCGUGCCAGCCGCGGC